AUUCCAUAUGGUGGAUAACUUGGCUUAGAACAGCGAUGAAGAGCGUGGCAAGCUGCGAAAAGCUCCAGGGAGACGCAUGCAGUUUUUGAUCUGGAGAUCCUUCAAUGAGACUUCUUCCUCGCAAGAGGAUCCCGAAAGGGAAGCGAACGCAGGGAAUUGAAGCGUCUUAGUACCUGCAGGAAAAGAAAUCAAACGAGAUACCGUGAUUAGCAGCGAGCGAAAACGGCAGAGGGCAAACCGAAUCCUUACGUGAAAACGUGGAGGAGAUGUGGUGUUAUAGGACGUUCUUUUAGUCUUCGUCUGGGUUCCUUAAACGUGCUGGAAUGCACUACGAGAAAGGGUGACAGUCCCGUUGGGAAUACUUGACAUGAUGUGAGCGUAUCCUGAGUAUUGUCUCUUGGAAAUGAGGCGAAAAAUUGGGAGGCAUCAACUUCCAACCCUAAACAUGUUCUAAGACCGAUAGCGAACAAGUACCAUGAGGGAAAGUUGAAAAGCACUCGUGAUAGAGAGUGAAAAGACCUUGAAACCAUAUGGAGAUAGCAUGUUGCGGCUCUACGGAGUUGCAACGUACGUUUCGAAUAACGGGCCAGGGAGUGGGCUUUUGUGGCGAGAGUAAUCUUCUCUGAAGAGGACUCAUAGCGAAAGCAAUUCUGCGCAGUACUCUGUACGAGGCAGGACGUAUGAAAAUGCGUUGAGUCACAGGAGUCCGACCCGAAACCGGCCGAUCUACCCCUGAGCAAGGUGAAGCGAGAGUAAAAUCUUGUGGAGGCCUGCAGAGGUUCUGUGUGCAAGCGUUCUUCUGACUUGGGGGUAGGGGUGAAAGGCCAAUCGAGACCGGUGAUAGCUGGUUCCUACCGAAGUGGGCCGCAGUCCAGUCUGGAAGGAGUAAGUACAAGUGGUAGAGCUACGGAUUGGGGAUUUAGGACCCGAAAGGGUUCGGUCCCCUGUCCAACUCCCAAUGCUUGUACUACGAAGAAUUCUGGAAACGGCAUUACUGGGUUAAACUUGUAAUGCGAAAGGGGAACAACCCUCGCCUUUCGUUAAGGUCCCUAAAUAUUGGUUGAGUGUUAAAGGGUGAAGAGAGUACCGUACCUGAGACAGUGGGGAGGUAGGCUUAGAAGCAGCCACCCUUCAAAGAAAGCGUAACAGCUCACCCAUCAAGGUAUUGUGCCUCUAAAAUGGACGGGGCUUAAACCAAUUACCGAUACGAAAGACUAUGUUCUAUGAACAUAUGUGGUAGGUAGGUGCCUUUCUCGGCAAGAAGUAUCUUCGUGAGAAGGUAUGGACCGAGAUGGGAUAAGAAUCCUGGCAGUAGUAGGAUCUGAGUAAUGUGAGAAUCAUUACCACUGAAAGGGCAAGGGUUUCUUCGCCAUGUACAUCAGCGAAGAGUAAGUUGGCCCUAAUGAGUAUCGUAACUGAUAUCCUCAGAAAGGGAAACCGGUUAAUAUUCCGGUACUAUACGGUUACGUGCGGCGACGCAAGUUUUGCUUCUGACGCUUUCGGCUAGAUAGAGACGUACUGUCGUACGUUUUAAUCAGCAUAGAACUCGGGAGUACUGUAACGGUGAGAACGAGUUAAAAGCUGAGAUAAGCAGGGCUUGUCUCUGUUCUGUUAAUGCCAAGAGCCCCUGAAAAAGGAGCAGAAAAGAAUACUGUAUACCCGUACCCAGAACCAACACUGGUGCCCCUAGGUGAGAAGCCUCAAGUGUGUGGGAGUUAAUCUACGUAAGGGAACUCGGCAAAUUAGUCCCGUUCCUUCGGUUGAAGGGAUCCCUGCUCUUGUGUCUGUAUAGGUGCAAGCGCAGGGCGCAGUGACUCGGGUGGUCCGACUGUUUAACAAAAACACAGCCUCUCGCUAGUCUGUAAAGAUAAGUACGCGAGGCGACGCCUGCCCAGUACCGGUAAUUCAAACUCCGUUUCAACGGAGCUAAGAUCCGGCAAACGGCGGGAAUAACUAUAAUUCUCUUAAGGUGAAAUCGUUGCCUUAAGACCCAAGUGUUAAACAGAUGUCACUUCAAAGAUUUGGGAUAAAAAUUUGGCUAUAUGCUGGAACAUCUGAGCAUCCCUCACUACUCGUUGAAAGAUUUUCAAUAAAUUCUUCGGAGUUUAUUUAAAGUCAAAAAACAGUAACAAUGUGUGGGUGCAGACAAUCAGCAGGAAAGGCUAGAUGCGCAGUGGAUUACUGGAUUUGUUGAUGGAGAAGGUUGUUUUCAUGUUGCUCUUAACAAGCAGCCGAAAAUGACUGUUGGCUAUCAAGUUCUUCCAGAGUUCCGUAUUGUUCAACAUCAACGUGAUGAGAAAUUACUUCACCAAAUUCGAAAUUAUUUUGGAUUUGGCAAAGUGACAACGAAUCAUGAUGAUCGUAAAGAGUUUCGUGUUCGAGGAAUGAUCAAUCUGAAAAAAAUUGUUUCUUUCUUUGAACAACACCCUCUUCGAACUUCAAAGCAGAAAAACUUUGCAAUCUUCGUUGAGAUUCUUAACUUGAUGAAUAAUAAGGAACAUCUGAAUAGGAAAGGACUUGAGAACAUUGCUCAACUUGUCUCUACAAUGAAUACGAAAAUCCAAAUACGUCUAGAAUCCUCAGAGACUGUAUGCCAAACAUCUUCUGAUGAAGAUACAGUCCGAACACAGCAGCGAUGUUGUGAGACAGACAGAAAUGGUUUGUCCGUUUUCUGCAAAGAAAAUAGUAACAAUUCUUGAGCGAAAUACCUUGUCGCUUUAAUGGCGACGCGCAUGAAUGGCGUAACGAGACCGCCACUGUCCCUACGUAGAGUCCCCCGAACACAUCCUUCUGGUGUAAAGACCAGAGUCUUCCUAUGGGAAGCAAAGACCCCGUGAAGCGUUACUGUAGCUUAUAGCUGCGAUGUGGCUUCUGUUGUGCAGCGUAGAUGGGAGUCGUUUGAUGGCUUAGACGCUAGUUUGAGUC
rnacentral:rRNA from 1 species